CAAGUUCUCAUCAGCCAAAUUCUAAAUAAAAAAAGAAACUACACUCUCAUUCCUUUAUUUACAGCAAAACAAAGACCAACAUAUCCACACACCAAACUGUUUGAUUCACAUCACACCCAAAUACAAACGGUUUAAAAAAGAGGAUGCUUUCAAAAUUUCAAGGUAACAAAAAGAGGUGCAAAUGUAUAUAUUACUAAACUAGAGAAGCCUCCUCCUGAAGGUUCUGGUAGUUGAUUGAUAAGUACGAACGAGAAGACCGACACCAAUCCCAAGACAAACACAGACACCAAUCUCUUU
rfam:Arabidopsis thaliana chromosome 1, complete sequence.